CUGGAUUGAAUCCUUAGUUAGAGAGAGGGGCUAAGCCUACGUAACGCUAUGGGAACAGCCUUUUUUGUCCGCUUUCAGCUAUGCUAUAUAGAUGGGCUACCCUGUGAAAUAAAACAUCAUAUGUAAGUAAGUAGCAUCUAGAAUAGAAUCCAGAGCAGCUAAGAAAAAAAAUCGAGUAGCUUGCGGGCCGGUCGUCAUUGCACACUAGCUGGUCAGUGGGGGUAAGAGAGUGUUCCGUUGGUGUUCUCAGUCUCAGUGCGACCUUGCUUGGUCAACAAGGGGAUCAAAAUGAGCGAGUUCUCGUCCCAUACUCAAGUCUGACUUCGAUCAUCGUCUCCCGUCUGCGCAAGAUGGAUUU
rnacentral:lncRNA from 1 species